GUUGGAACUGUCCUGGUGAGAUGUGACCUCCUGUUUGGGAACUGUAGUGCUUAAUUAUUUUGGAGAAGAAAUCUCACCACAUCCUUCUGCUGCGUGGCGGCUGAUGGCUGGAUAUGAUACCAGAGAGAAACUUGCGAAAAUGUUGAAACAGAGCAGAAAGGCAGAGGUGUCCUGCAUGAACCAGAGGAGAUGCAGAGGAGCAGGGUGGCCAGAAGAAAGGUGAGGGUUUGAAGAAAAUCAGGGUGGAGGGUUGCAGGGAAUGAAGGGAGGACACAGAUCCAGAUGCAAAGUG
rnacentral:lncRNA from 1 species